CAAGAUAGGAUAGGAAUGGCUAAGGUAAGAUAGAAUAGGAUAAUGUAGGAUAGGAUUGGUUAAGGUAAGAUAGGAUAGGAUGUGGUAGGAUAAGAAUGUGUAGGAUAGGAUAAGAUAGGAUAGGAACGGCUAAGAUAUAAUAGAAUAGGAUAAGGUAGGAUAGGAAUGCCAAUUGUAAGAUAGAAUAGGAUGUGGUAGGAUUAGAAUGGGUAAGAUAGGAUGGAAUAGAAAAAGUUAGCAUAUGAACUGAAGUUGAUGAUGUGCAUUACUACUAAUCCUGCUGACCUUUCUCUCCUGCAGACAGGGGCAACGCCGGAGGAAAAAGGACACUGGAAACGGAAAGCUGGAGUGUUGGGGAGUGAUGGGGACUGGAGGGAACAAACAACUAACCUUCCUUUCCUCCCAAAGUCUGCCUUUCCAGGACUGGCAAAGGUGGCCCAUGGAUUGGACCAUGCCUCACGCGAUGCAAUGAGUGGAGGGAUUGUUGAAAGAGCAAACCAGACUCUGAAAUUAAAAUUGGCAAAACUGUGUAGUGACACGGGACUAGAUUGGGUGACAGCCCUGCCGAUUGUGUUGGGGGCAAUGAGAGGCCGCCCACACCAGCAGACAGGAUUGGCACCACAUGAAAUAUUGACAGGACGACCAAUGCCAGUCCCGUAUCCAGGGGGACGGGUGAACUUAGAAACUGUAGAUGGCGAUCUGUUAACCUAUCUGUCUAUAAUGAAAUAUAGAUGUUAUGCAAAAUGCAUUACCUAAUCAGUAAUUAACAAUUAAGUUUAUAAUUGUGUUGUUGAUUUACACAUAGUGGUUGAAACAAUGUAAUUUACUUGUCAUUAAUUGAAUGUAUCAAACAAUAAUGCAAAUCUGCAGAGAUCAAAGGGGCUCCACUCCAACAACUGCUGCAAACGCCGCGGCUCCCUGAGUGCCAUCACCCGUCAGCUCAUCAGUCUCUGCAACCAACUGCCAAGACCCCCCCCCCCCCACUCUGCAAACAAGUAAACCAACUUCCUUUUAUUCUAACAACCUAAGCUGUUUUUAACCUGCUAUAUGACGUUAGGGUCGUGUUCACACAAACUGUGCUUGCUUUGCAGAACAGUAUUUCCCUUUUAAGGUUACUCAUUUAAAUCUGGUCAUUGCAUUUCCAUAAUUACACUGUUUGUUUCUAUUCCGUUAUUUCGUGUUUGUUGUUUGUGUUAAGUGUAAUGUCUGUCUUAUGUUAGUUGUAGUGUUAGCUAGGAAUAAAUGCAUGUCUUUUACACAA